rnacentral:rRNA from 1 species
GACGAACGCUGGCGGCGUGCUUAACACAUGCAAGUCGAACGGAAAGGCUCUGCUUUUGUGGGGUGCUCGAGUGGCGAACGGGUGAGUAACACGUGAGUAACCUGCCCUUGACUUUGGGAUAACUUCAGGAAACUGGGGCUAAUACCGGAUAGGAGCUUCUGCUGUAUGGUGGGGGCUGGACAGUUUCGGCGGUUGGGGAUGGACUCGCGGCUUAUCAGCUUGUCGGUGGGGUAGUGGCUUACCAAGGCUUUGACGGGUAGCCGGCCUGAGAGGGUGACCGGCCACAUUGGGACUGAGAUACGGCCCAGACUCCUACGGGAGGCAGCGGUGGAGAAGAUAGCACAAUGGGCGGAAGCCUGAUGCAGCAACGCCGCGUGCGGGAUGACGGCCUUCGGGUUGGAAACCGCUUUCGCCUGUGACGAAGCGUGAGUGACGGUAAUGGGUAAAGAAGCACCGGCUAACUACGUG